rnacentral:lncRNA from 1 species
ACGAAUUUAAUAGAUGCAGAUUUAUCAUUUGAUGAAUUAUUAAAUGCCUUCCAUAACUUAUUUGAUGAAUGCAAGAUUAUUAGCAGAAAAUACAAAUUGCUAAAAAAGGAGCAUGAUAGUCUUACUUGUAAUUUCGAUAAGUUAAAAACUGAAUAUCAUGAUAGUUUAGGUUCAUGCAUAAAAUGUCAUGAUCUAGAAACUCUCCAAAAG